AUGUCAACAUGAGCAAAUUUUGGACUUCAAGAUAGAGCCUCCCCUUUAAUAGAACAAUUAACGUUUUUUCAUGAUCACGCCCUAUUAAUUUUAAUUAUAAUUACCACUUUAGUAGGAUACAUUAUAAUUAUAUUAUUUUUUAAUAAUCAUAUUAAUCGAUUUUUAUUACACGGACAAACAAUCGAAAUAAUCUGAACAAUUCUCCCAGCUAUUAUCUUACUAUUUAUUGCUUUUCCAUCCUUACGCCUCUUAUAUCUUUUAGAUGAAAUUAAUGAACCUGCUAUUACAUUAAAAACUAUUGGCCACCAAUGAUACUGAAGCUAUGAAUACUCUGACUUCGUAGACUUAGAAUUUGACUCAUAUAUAAUUCCAACAAAUGAUUUACCAGCAGAAGGAUUCCGACUUUUAGACGUAGAUAACCGAGUUAUACUACCAAUAAAUACUCAAAUUCGAAUUUUAAUUACUGCUGCAGAUGUUAUUCAUUCAUGAACUAUCCCUAGACUAGGGGUCAAAGUUGAUGGAACCCCAGGACGAUUAAAUCAAACUAAUUUUAUUAUUAAUCGUCCUGGCCUUUAUUACGGGCAAUGUUCAGAAAUUUGCGGAGCAAACCAUAGAUUUAUACCUAUUGUAAUCGAAAGUACCCCAGUAAACAAUUUCAUCAAAUGAAUUCAA
rnacentral:rRNA from 1 species